rnacentral:rRNA from 1 species
GACGAACGCUGGCGGCGUGCUUAACACAUGCAAGUCGAACGGAAAGGUCCUGCUUUUGUGGGGUGCUCGAGUGGCGAACUGGUGAGUAACACGUGAGUAACCUGCCCUUGACUUUGGGAUAACUUCAGGAAACUGGGGCUAAUACCGGAUAGGAGCUCCUGCUGCAUGGUGGGGGUUGGAAAGUUUCGGCGGUUGGGGAUGGACUCGCGGCUCAUCAGCUUGUUGGUGGGGUAGUGGCUUACCAAGGCUUUGACGGGUGGCCGGCCUGAGAGGGUGACCGGCCACAUUGGGACUGGAAUACGGCCCAGACUCCUACGGGAGGCGACGGAGGGGAGUAUUGCACAAUGGGCGGAAGCCUGAUGCAGCGACGCCGCGUGCGGGAUAACGGCCUGCUGGUUGUAAACCGCUUUCGCCUGUGACGAAGCGUGAGUGACGGUAAUGGGUAAAGAAGCACCGGCUAACUACGUG